rnacentral:lncRNA from 1 species
UUUCACCUUUUCUUCCCUUCUUUUUCUCUUUCCUCAGAUAAACCAAAGAUGAAACAUGCGAAUCCUGGAAAAGAGAAAGAACUGAAAUAUUCAGCUGCUAUCAAGGAUAAAGAACAUUCUAAAGAAAAGGAAGGAAAGAAUCCUACAGCUUUAAAAGAUAAAGAAUCACUGAAAGGAAAAAAUCCCAAGAAUCCAGAAGAGUCAAAGGAAAAAGAGACUGCUAAAAGAAAAGAUGUGAUGCCUCCAACAGUCUUAAAGGAAAAGGACUCUUCAAAAGGAAAGGAAAUGAAAGUUCCAGCUAUGACAAAGGAGAAAGGCACUUCAGAGAAACCUCAUGACCACAAGCAUGAACAUAUUAAACAUGAAAAAUCAAUCUCUCACACUAAGCCAGAGGAGAAAAUUAAACAACAAAAGAGAGGCCUCACCGAGAGUUCAGCCCAAGCUAAGCCAGCAAAGCAUGAAGCAGUCAGGCAUGAAAAAGAUGUUCUACCUACAAAGCCCGUCAAACUGAAAACAACUUCAAAGUCAACGGUUGAAAUCCCAGUAACAGCCCCGAAGAAAAGAAAGACGUCUAAGGAAAAAGAAGGUAGGAAAUUACUCUGUGUAUUCAUAUAUGUGUAGAUGGAAGAUCACAAGGAUGAUCAGAGGACUCAAGCACCUCUCCUCUGAAGACAGGUGGAAGGAGCUGGGCUUGUUCAGCUUUCCUUGGGAGAUCCUUUUUCAGUCUUUCAAUACUUAAAGUGAGGAGAGGGACAGACUUUUUACAUGGUCUGGUAAUGAUAGGACAAGGGGGAAUGAUUUUAACCAAAAGAGGUGAGAAAUAGUUUAGAUAUUAGGCAGAAAUUCUUCACUUAGAGACUGGUGAGACACUGAAACAAGUUUCCCAGAGAAGCUGUGGGUGCCUCAUACCUGUAAGUCUUCAGGCUUGACUUAGUCAUUUGCAACCCUGACUAUAGCAGGGGGCAUAGAACUAGCUGUUGUUCUCUUCCAACCCAAGCCUUCCUACGAUUCUAACUUUAAAAUACUUCAGAUCAUAAUCUUGCAUGUAUUUGUAUAUGGAAAAAAAAAACAAAAAAAACAAAAAACAAAAAAAAAAAAACAAAAAAAACAAAAAAAACCCAACUCCUAAAAUAUCUAUAUUAAUUUUCAAAGAAUUGUAUUUGAAAAGUCUAGGUAAUAAUCUAAUAAGAAUUAGAAUUAAAAAUAUCUCCAACCUUGAACUCUGUUACCUGUCCCUUUCCUUUUUCUGCCUAGAAAAAACAACUGAGAAGAAACCUCUGAAAGAUGAAAAACACAAAGGUAAUAAAGGGAUGAAAAUCUCUGCA